rnacentral:rRNA from 1 species
UACGUAGGGACCAAGCGUUGUUCGGAUUUACUGGGCGUAAAGGGCGCGUAGGCGGCAUGACAAGUCACUUGUGAAAUCUCUGGGCUUAACCCAGAACGGCCAAGUGAUACUGUCGCGCUAGAGUGCGGAAGGGGCAAUCGGAAUUCUCGGUGUAGCGGUGAAAUGCGUAGAUAUCAAGAGGAACACCUGCGGCGAAGGCGGGUUGCUGGGCCGACACUGACGCUGAGGCGCGAAAGCCAGGGGAGCGAACGGG